CUCUCCCCCCUCCCAGGUCAAUACAACUGGGGAUGGAAAACAAAAUGGUUUUAACUCAGCCUUUUUCCCUACUGUUGCUCCUGUCACCUUUACUGGAACGAGACCUCAAAACCGUACUUACAAACCGUUUUCAUACCAAGACAAAAAAGAAAUUUGCAAAGUACAAAGAGAAUUUGGCCGUAAUAGUGAAAUAUUUAAAAGCAUUGUUAAAACAACAUUAACCUCAAAUGAUUUAGUUCCUACAGAUAUUAAAGAUCUUUUUAGGUGUUUGCUUACACCAUCUGAAAUUGAAUUAUGGGAAAACACGUGGAAGCGAUUUCUAAAAAACAUACUGGUGGAAUUAUUAAAAACUAAUCACCAAUAUGUAGAUUUAUUAAAUAAUCCUAUUACUUUAGAGCAUUUAUGUGGUGAAGGAGUAUGGGAAAAACCUGAGGACCAAACUAGGGCAUUGCCAAAAGCUGUGAUAGAUAAAAUCACUACAGCUGCAGAAAAGGCUUUCACACAGCUACCUACAGCUGACACCAAGGGCAGUUAUAUUAAUGUAAAACAAAUGCCCUCAGAAGGAUUCCUGCAAUUCUUAGACCGAUUAAGAGAACAAGUCUCCCGUCAGGUAGAAGACCCUGUGGUACAGACAGAGUUAGUCAAGGAACUUGCUCAGAGAAAUGCUAAUGAAUCUUGCCGUAGAAUUAUUUUAGGUUUGCCUGUGGAUCCCCCUCCGACCCUUGCACAGAUGUCAGCAGCCUGUGCAAGGAAAGCAGAGAUGUUUUCGCAGGAAAAGAGACCUCCCUGGACCACCCCAAGACCUGUUGCUGCAGUUUCAUCUGAGACAAGGAAUGAACAGAUGACGUCUGACCAGCAACAGCGAAUUUGUUUUUAUUGCAGAAAACCGGGACACUUUGCUAAAAACUGUCCUUUAAAACAACAGAAACACAUGGAUACCAGCUUGCCAAAAAACUUACAUCACAGCGCUUAUCCAUUCAGUGCGCAGACAUAAAUGAAGUGGAAACGAAUCUCUGUCCUUUAAUAAAAAGGGGGAAGGGGGGUGAAAAACUGCA
rnacentral:lncRNA from 1 species